CCUACGGGCUGCUGCAGUGAGGAAUAUUGGUCAAUGGACGAGAGUCUGAACCAGCCAAGUAGCGUGAAGGAUGACUGCCCUAUGGGUUGUAAACUUCUUUUAUAUGGGAAUAAAACGUUCCACGUGUGGGAUUUUGUAUGUACCAUAUGAAUAAGGAUCGGCUAACUCCGUGCCAGCAGCCGCGGUAAUACGGAGGAUCCGAGCGUUAUCCGGAUUUAUUGGGUUAAAAGGGAGCGUAGGUGGAUUGUUAAGUCAGUUGUGAAAGUUUGCGGCUCAACCGUAAAAUUGCAGUUGAAACUGGCAGUCUUGAGUACAGUAGAGGUGGGCGGAAUUCGUGGUGUAGCGGUGAAAUGCUUAGAUAUCACGAAGAACUCCGAUUGCGAAGGCAGUUCACUGGACUGCAACUGACACUGAGGCUCGAAAGUGUGGGUAUCAAACAGGAUAGAUACCCGAGUAGUC
rnacentral:rRNA from 1 species